rnacentral:rRNA from 1 species
UACGUAGGGAGCAAGCGUUGUCCGGAUUUAUUGGGCGUAAAGAGCUCGUAGGCGGCUUAGAAAGUCAGGUGUGAAACCUCCAGGCUCAACCUGGAGACGCCACUUGAUACUUCUAUGGCUUGAGUUCGGUAGGGGAUCACGGAAUUCCUGGUGUAGCGGUGAAAUGCGCAGAUAUCAGGAGGAACACCGAUGGCGAAGGCAGCUCGCUGGGACGGUACUGACGCUGAGGCGCGAAAGCCAGGGGAGCAAACGGGG